GUCACGCCGCACGCCCCAGCGAGGGCGUGCGGAGUUUGGCUGCUCAGGGGUUAGCAGAAGUUGGGAUAUCUAAAGCAGAAGCCUUAGAAACUCUGCAAAUUAUCAGAAGAGAAUGUCUCACAAAUAAACCAAGAUAUGCUGGUACAUCUGAGUCACGCAAGAAGUGUACAGCACUGGAACUUCUUGAGCAGGAGCAUACCCAGGGCUUCAUAAUCACCUUCUGUUCAGCACUAGAUGAUAUUCUUGGGGGUGGAGUGCCCUUAAUGAAAACAACAGAAAUUUGUGGUGCACCAGGUGUUGGAAAAACACAAUUAUGUAUGCAGUUGGCAGUAGAUGUGCAGAUACCAGAAUGUUUUGGAGGAGUGGCAGGUGAAGCAGUUUUUAUUGAUACAGAGGGAAGUUUUAUGGUUGAUAGAGUGGUAGACCUUGCUACUGCCUGCAUUGAGCACCUUCAGCUUAUAGCAGAAAAACACAAGGGAGAGGAACACCAAAAAGCUUUGGAGGAUUUCACUCUUGAUAAUAUUCUUUCUCAUAUUUAUUAUUUUCGCUGUCGUGACUACACAGAGUUACUGGCACAAGUUUAUCUUCUUCCAGAUUUCCUUUCAGAACACUCAAAGCCCCAAAGGUCUUAACUGGUUCCAUCAUCAACUCUA
rnacentral:sRNA from 1 species